rnacentral:rRNA from 1 species
ACGACGCUGGCGGCGUGCCUAAUACAUGCAAGUCGAACGGUCUUUUCUAUGGAAGCUUGCUUCCACUGAGAAGAUAGUGGCGAACGGGUGAGUAACACGUGGGUAACCUGCCCAUAAGAGGGGGAUAACAUCCGGAAACGGGUGCUAAUACCGCAUAGUUUUCUUGAUCACAUGAUUGAGAAAGGAAAGACGGCCUUUGUGCUGUCGCUUAUGGAUGGACCCGCGGCGUAUUAGUUAGUUGGUGAGGUAACGGCUCACCAAGACGAUGAUACGUAGCCGACCUGAGAGGGUGAUCGGCCACAUUGGGACUGAGACACGGCCCAAACUCCUACGGGAGGCAGCAGUAGGGAAUCUUCCGCAAUGGACGAAAGUCUGACGGAGCAACGCCGCGUGAGUGAAGAAAAGGUUUUCGGAUCGUAAAACUCUGUUGUCAGAGAAGAACAAGUUGGAGAGUAACUGCUCCAGCCUUGACGGUAUCUGACCAGAAAGCCACGGCUAACUACGUGCCAGCCGCCGC